rnacentral:rRNA from 1 species
UACAGAGGUCCCAAGCGUUGUUCGGAUUCACUGGGCGUAAAGGGUGCGUAGGCGGUCGGGUAAGUCUGAUGUGAAAUCUCACAGCUUAACUGUGAAACUGCAUUGGAUACUAUCCGGCUCGAGGAAUGGAGGGGAGACUGGAAUACUUGGUGUAGCAGUGAAACGCGUAGAUAUCGAGAGGAACACCAGUGGCGAAGGCGAGUCUCUGGACGACUCCUGACACUGAGGCACGAAAGCUAGGGGAGCAAACAGG